rnacentral:rRNA from 1 species
ACGCUCGACACCUACGGGAGGCAGCAGUGAGGGAUAUUGGUCAAUGGGGGAAACCCUGAACCAGCAACGCCGCGUGAGGGAUGACGGCCUUGGUUGUAACCUCUGUCCUCUGUGAAGAUAAUGACGGUAGCAGAGGAGGAAGCUCCGGCUAACUACGUGCCAGCAGCAGCGGUAAUCUGAGGCGGGCGUGGCAAGGC